GACGAACGCUGGCGGCGUGCUUAACACAUGCAAGUCGAACGGAAAGGCCCUGCUUUUGUGGGUUGCUCGAUUGGCGAACGGGUGAGUAACACGUGUGUAACCUGCCCUUGUCUUUGGGAUAACUUCAGGAAACUGGGGCUAAUAUCGGAUAGGAUCUCCUGCUCCAUGGUGUGGGUUGGAAAGUUUCGGCGGUUGGGGAUGGACUCGCGGCUUAUCAGCUUGUUGGUGGGGUAGUGGCUUACCAAGGCUUUGACGGGUAGCCGGCCUGAGAGGGUGACCGGGCACAUUGGGCCUGCGAGAGGGCGCAGACUCGAACGGGAGGCAGCAGGGGGGAAUAUUGCACAGUGGGCCGGCGCCUGAUGCAGAGACGCCGCGUGCGGGAUGACGGCCUUCGGGUUAUAAACCGAUUUGGCCUGUGACGAAGCGUGAGUGACGGUAAUGGGUAAAGAAGCACCGGCUAACUACGUG
rnacentral:rRNA from 1 species